GAUGAAGAACGUAGCGAAAUGCGAUAAGUAAUGUGAAUUGCAGAAUUCAGUGAAUCAUCGAAUCUUUGAACGCACAUUGCGCCCUCUGGUAUUCCGCAGGGCAUGCCUGUUCGAGCGUCAUUUCAACCCUCAAGCCCCGCUUGGUGUUGGGCCCCGCCCGCUGUGGCCGGCCCUAAAGACAGUGGCGGCGCCGCCUGGCCCUCAGCGUAGUACAUCUCUCGCUCCAGGGUCCGGUGGCCGCCUGCCAGAACCCCCCAACUCUGUGGUUGACCUCGGAUCAGGUAGGGAUACCCGCUGAACUUAAGCAUAUCAAUAAGCGGAGGA
rnacentral:misc_RNA from 1 species